rnacentral:rRNA from 1 species
UACGUAGGGAGCAAGCGUUGUCCGGAAUCAUUGGGCGUAAAGCGCGCGUAGGUGGCCACAUAAGUCCGUUGUGAAAGUCAAAGGCUCAACCUUUGAAAGCCGAUGGAUACUGUGUGGCUAGAGUACGGAAGAGGCGAGUGGAAUUCCUGGUGUAGCGGUGGAAUGCGCAGAUAUCAGGAGGAACACCGGUGGCGAAGGCGGCCAACUGGACCAUUACUGACGCUGAGGCGCGAAAGCGUGGGGAGCAAACAGG